UCGAGUCUUUGAACGCAAGUUGCGCCCGAGGCCAACCGGCCAAGGGCACGUCUGCCUGGGCGUCAAGCGUUGCGUCGCUCCGUGCCAACUCCAUCCCGCCAAUGGGCGUGUCGGAUGAGGCUAGGAUGUGCAUAGUGGCUCGUCGUGCCCAUCGGUGCG
rnacentral:rRNA from 1 species